rnacentral:rRNA from 1 species
UAGGGAAUCUUCGGCAAUGGGGGGAACCCUGACCGAGCAACGCCGCGUGAGUGAAGAAGGUUUUCGGAUCGUAAAGCUCUGUUGUUAAGGAAGAACGAGUGUGAGAAUGGAAAGUUCAUACUGUGACGGUACUUAACCAGAAAGGGACGGCUAACUACGUGCCAGCAGCCGCGGUAAUACGUAGGUCCCGAGCGUUGUCCGGAUUUAUUGGGCGUAAAGCGAGCGCAGGCGGUUAGAUAAGUCUGAAGUUAAAGGCAGUGGCUCAACCAUUGUAGGCUUUGGAAACUGUUUAACUUGAGUGCAGAAGGGGAGAGUGGAAUUCCGUGUGUAGCGGUGAAAUGCGUAGAAAUAUGGAGGAACACCGGUGGCGAAAGCGGCUAUCUGGUCUGUAACUGACGCUGAGGCUCGAAAGCGUGGGGAGCGAACAGG